rnacentral:rRNA from 1 species
GACGGAGGGUGCUAGCGUUGUUCGGAAUCACUGGGCGUAAAGGGCGCGUAGGCGGCCUUGCAAGUCGGUUGGUGAAAGCCCGGGGCUCAACCCCGGAGGUGCGGCCGAGACUGCAGGGCUGGAGGCCGGAAGAGGAGGGUGGAAUACCCAGUGUAGAGGUGAAAUUCGUAGAUAUCGGGAGGAACACCAGUGGCGAAGGCGGCGACCUGGACGGACACUGACGCUGAGACGCGAAAGCGUGGGGAGCAAACAGG